UACGUAGGGUGCGAGCGUUGUCCGGAAUUACUGGGCGUAAAGAGCUCGUAGGUGGUUUGUCGCGUUGUUCGUGAAAACUCACAGCUCAACUGUGGGCGUGCGGGCGAUACGGGCAGACUGGAGUACUGCAGGGGAGACUGGAAUUUACGGUGUAGCGGUGAAAUGCGUAGAUAUCGGGAGGAACACCAAUGGCGAAGGCAGCUCGCUGGGACGGUACUGACGCUGAGGCGCGAAAGCGUGGGGAGCAAACAGG
rnacentral:rRNA from 1 species